UUAAGUGUCCUAAUUGAACAGCUCAGCAGAACUUCAAAGGAUAAUCGCAUUCAUGAUACUAUCCAAUCUGCCACAGAAUCCAAUAUCAUGCAACAUUCACAAGUUGAUAGCACGCUCCCUCCCAGAUUGUUGUUGUAAAAUUUACAACAAUUUGACCAGUAAAGGGUUAAGAGUGCAUGCAUGCAUUACUUACUGGUAUUAGCUAUUCUAGUGACAUUUUCUCAUUGACAGUGACUCAUAACCACUGACUGCAAUUGUUCAUCACUUCAAGUUGCAUGUUAAAGCAUUUUCUCUGGAUAUCGUCAUGAAGAUUUCAAUGAUUGCCAAUGUGGCUCUGCUAUAUCUCUCGUGGCCUUGGCCUCUUCUGCUCAGUCCUCAUGACCAUGGUUAUUAUCAGCAGCUGAUAGAUGCCCUGGAGCUGGAGCAACAAGAUGACUCAGCUCGUCAGCAACACUAUUAUCAGCUGAAAAAUGGCCCAGCUGCUCAUAUCAAUGAAAAAACGGGAAUCGGCAGGAUACUCACGGAAGGAGAAGGGAGGCUGCACGGUACUCCGAUCCAUCACUAAUGAAACAGUACUGGUUCGGUCCUAUAUAAUUAUUGUGCAUUGGACAUAGAAAGUAAACUGACACAUAAAAUUAUAUUGAAAACAGGCUGGCUUACCAUUCUCACAAAUAUGGACGUAUGUCGUGAAAUCCCCAUUGCUGUAUCUGGCAGACUGGCAAAUUACUUUGUCGUAUACAUUUUUCCUGACCGUAGCCGUGGAGAGAGCAAAGACAGAGCUCAGAAAGAACAGAGUAAAUAUCUUCAUCGUUGUGAUACGUUUUGUUGAAACAAGCUUGCC